CCUACGGGUGGGCAGCAGUGGGGAUUAUUGCACAAUGGGGGAAACCCUGAUGCAGCAACGCCGCGUGAGUGAUGACGGCCUUCGGGUUGUAAAGCUCUGUUUUCAGGGACGAAAAUGGCGGUACCUGAGGAGGAAGCCACGGCUAACUACGUGCCAGUAGCCGCGGUAAUACGUAGGUGGCGAGCGUUGUCCGGAUUUACGGGGGGUAAAGGGAGCGUAGGCGGGUUUUUAAGUGAGAUGUGAAAUACCCGGGUGCAACUUGAGGGCUGCAUUUCAAACUGGAGGUCUAGAGUGCAGGAGAGGAAGGCGGAAUGCGUGGGGUAGGGGUGAAAGGGUUAGAGAGGAGGACGAAACC
rnacentral:rRNA from 1 species